rnacentral:tmRNA from 1 species
GGGGGUGCCGGGCUUCGAUAGGAGCUUCUGGCUACACUGGCAUACCGAGGAAGCCCUGAUCCUCGUUAAUCACAAAGGGCAACCUAAUAAGUGCAAACUUGUUAACAAAAGUAAGGGCUACUGUAGCUAACGCUUUCAGUACCUUUGCUCCAGCCAUGGCCUAAGAACCACAGCUGGACCCUCUAGACCCUUCGUGGUUUAGGGCAUCGCACCGAUAAUACUCAGUAGUCGACCCGCGGUGUUAAUCACUGAGCGUAGUUAUAUAGUAGUGCCGAAUGCUAUAUAGCGAAGUUACCCGGCUCGUCAACCCAAUUUUCGUCCUCUUCUAUCGGGUUGAUUAAAUACCAAGAGACACUAAGUAUGUAGAAGGUUUAGUCACAGUUAUCUACACGCGAGUUCAACUCUCGCCACCUCCACCA